AUGCGGGAGCGCGGGGACCCGGUGCGGGGCCCGGGACGGAGCCGUCCCCAGGGGUGGGGAACGUCCGUGCGGAAAAUCUGCUGCCUGCAAGGAUCCUUUCCCCACCCUUUGUUUCCUGAGGACAAACCUGGGGCGUGCCCCGUGGGAUGCUGGGGGGUCACACCGUGCCUGGGGGCCCGGGGGCACGCACCCAGGAUGAGCGGCUCAGGGAAAUGCGUGCCUUUGUGUGAGGGACAAAGUCACCCGCUGGGGCAUGGAAGCAUCCCCAUGGCUGUGCUGGGUGCACGUCACGCUGGGGGUCACGCUGUGUUGGGUGGGAUUUUGUGAUGUUUGCAAGUCAAGAAAAAUGAGGCUAUGUGUCCUCCCAACAGGGCUGGCAGUGUGACUCAGUAUCCUCCGCAGCACGCAGCGGUGAGUGUAUUUUAACAGCUGAUUGGGAUCCGUAGAACCACAGAAUCAUUCCGGUUGGAAAUGACCUCUAAUAUCCCCAAGCCCAACCCCAGCCCACCCCACCGUGCCCACUGCCACGUCCCUCAGUGCCACAUCCCCACGGCUCUGGAACACCUCCAGGAUGGUGACCCCACCACUCCCCGGGCAGCUGUGCCAGUGCAGCACUGCUCUGUUGGACAAGAAAUGUUUCCUUAUAUCCAACCUGACCCUCCCCUGGCACAACGUGAGGCCACCACCUCUUGCCCUAUGGCUGUUACCUGGGAGCAGAGGCUGACCCUACCUCACCACUGCCUCCUGUCAUGGAGCUGUAGGGAGCAAUGAGGUCUUCCCUGAGCCUCCUCUUCUCCACACUGACCCACGCCAUUCCCUCUCCCUGUAGCUCUGUGCUCCAGACCCCAUUCCCAACCCAUGUUCAGCAGCUGUUGCCCACCACCCCCAGGGCCUUUUCCUCAGCGCAGCUCCCACCCGCUGUGCCCCAGCCCUGCAGCACUGCAUGGGCUUGGUGUGACCAAAGCGCAGGACCCGGCCCUUGGUCUUGUUGAACCUCAUCCCGUUGGUGUCAGCCCAUGGAUCUGCCUGUCCUGGUCUGUCUGUGCAGCCUUCCUGCCCUGCGGCAGGUCAGUGCCUGAUGCUCAGAGGACAUCCCUGUGUUUCUCGCUGGGAGAGGUUGCUCAGAGAAAAAACAGCAGUGCGUGGUGAGAGGAACGCCUGCAGCUGGUGCUGGUUGAGGGCUGAUGGAAAGGGGGAAGCCGUGAGGCAAAGGAGUCAGUCCCGGUGUGGCACUUCAGCCCUAUUAUCCCGAUGGAAAACGAGAUGUGGGGCAACGCUGGGCGUGUCAGAGCCUCGGUGUGUGUCUGCCCACGGGGAUGCAAAGUCCCACGGUGGAAAUGGGAGCCGUGAUCAGGGCGGGCUUCCAAAGGACGGGGCUGCUGGCUGCUGAGCAGCAAGUGCUUCAAAAGCAGAAGGGCACGGAGCCGCUGCGCUCUGCACCCGCUGCCCGCCCUGCUGCAGGGAGCUCUGAGAAGCGAGCACGCAGCUCCACGGGAGCACACGGAGCCGAGGUUUGUCCUGGCUCUGCACGCUGCCUGCAGGGGAGUCAGAGGCGGUGACGCCGGUGGCGUGGUGCUCCAUGAAUAUUUAACGGCUCGCCAUCAUCAAAUAUUGAAACCCGAGGAUAUUGGUUCUCGCACUUCCGUACGGCGGCGGCGCAGAUAGGAUUAGCGAGGCCUCAUAUUGCGGCACUUUAAUUAAACCCAUAAAGCACGCUCUUUAAUAAAG
rnacentral:lncRNA from 1 species